UGGGGGAAUUUUCCGCAAUGGGCGAAAGCCUGACGGAGCAAUGCCGCGUGGAGGUGGAAGGCCUACGGGUCGUCAACUUCUUUUCUCGGAGAAGAAACAAUGACGGUAUCUGAGGAAUAAGCAUCGGCUAACUCUGCGCCAG
rnacentral:rRNA from 1 species